rnacentral:rRNA from 1 species
AGCAGUAGUGGAAUCUUCGGCAAUGGACGGAAGUCUGACCGAGCAACGCCGCGUGAACGAAGAAGUAUUUCUGGUAUGUAAAGUUCUUUUAUCAGGGACGAAAACAUAGUAUUGACGGUACCUGAUGAAUAAGCUCCGGCUAACUACGUGCCAGCAGCCGCGGUAAUACGUAGGGGAGCGAGCGUUAUCCGGAAUUAUUGGGCGUAAAGGGUGCGCUAGAUGGCAAUAUAAAGUUUCUUGUUAAAGUGCGGGGCUCAACCCCGUGAUGCAAGAAAAACUGAUGAUAGCUAGAGUAUGGGAGAGGCUAAGUGGAACUCCAUGUGUAGCGGUGGAAU